rnacentral:rRNA from 1 species
GACGAACGCUGGCGGCGUGCCUAAUACAUGCAAGUCGAACGCAGUGGGGACGGGUGAGUAACACGUGGGUAACCUCCCAUCAGAGGGGAUAACACUUGGAAACAGGUGCUAAACCGAUACUGAUGGAUGGACCCGCGUGGCAUUAGCUAGUUGGUGAGGUAACGGCUCACCAAGGCGACGAUGCAUAGCGGACCUGAGAGGGUGAGCGGCCACACUGGGACUGAGACACGGCCCAGACUCCUACGGGAGGCAGCAGUAGGGAAUAUUGGGCAAUGGGCGAAAGUCUGAUGGAGCAAUGCCGCGUGAGUGAAGAAGGUUUUCGGAUUGUAAAGUUCUGUUGGUAGGGAAGCGUUAUCUACACAGAAAGCAACGGCUAACUACGUGCCAGCAGCCGCGGUAAUAC